CGGACGUCCCUGUUUGUUAUGAGAGAGGAGUGAGCGGGUAUCGAACGUUGGUGUGAAGGUGUGAAGGUGUGGACUCUGCUAUGAAUCAGGCUGAGGACCCAGAGGACGGAGUCCCUCCCUCUGAAGCCCCUCUGUGUGGGGAACAUGACAGCCAGACCAAAGCUCAGAGGAUCCAUCAGAGACCAGGACCUGGACCUGGACCCAGCUGUGUGUCCAUGAAGAGUAACCGGUCUAUGGAGCCUCCUCCACUCUUCAAAGAUGUUGGUCCCUCUGUUGAUGCAAGUUCACAUCAGCAGAGAGGAAAGUCUCCUGAACCCAGAUGUUUGUCCAUGAAGAGUGAUCGGUCUAAAGGUUGGCUGAUUGACUUCAAAGAUGGAUGCCGUUCUUAUGACCCAGAGUAAG
ensembl:lncRNA